AGGGUUUGAUCCUGGCUCAGAACGAACGCUGGCGGCAUGCCUUAUACAUGCAAGUCGAACGAGAAAGUCACUUCGGUGGCGAGUACAGUGGCGCACGGGUGAGUAACGCGUAGAUGAUCUACCCUUUAGUCUGGGACAACUCUUGGAAACGAGAGCUAAUACCGGAUAAAACCUUCGGGUUGAAAGAUUUAUCGCUGGGGGAUGAGUCUGCGUACCAUUAGCUUGUUGGUGGGGUAACGGCCUACCAAGGCGACGAUGGUUAGCGGGUCUGAGAGGACGAUCCGCCACACUGGAACUGAGACACGGUCCAGACUCCUACGGGAGGCAGCAGUAGGGAAUAUUGCGCAAUGGGGGCAACCCUGACGCAGCAAUGCCGCGUGAGUGAAGAAGGCCUUCGGGUCGUAAAGCUCUUUUAUGGGGGAAGAUGAUGACGGUACCCCAUGAAUAAGCACCGGCUAACUACGUGCCAGCAGCCGCGGUAAUUC
rnacentral:rRNA from 1 species